rnacentral:rRNA from 2 species
CAAGUCGAGCGGACAGAUGGGAGCUUGCUCCCUGAUGUUAGCGGCGGACGGGUGAGUAACACGUGGGUAACCUGCCUGUAAGACUGGGAUAACUCCGGGAAACCGGGGCUAAUACCGGAUGGUUGUUUGAACCGCAUGGUUCAAACAUAAAAGGUGGCUUCGGCUACCACUUACAGAUGGACCCGCGGCGCAUUAGCUAGUUGGUGAGGUAACGGCUCACCAAGGCAACGAUGCGUAGCCGACCUGAGAGGGUGAUCGGCCACACUGGGACUGAGACACGGCCCAGACUCCUACGGGAGGCAGCAGUAGGGAAUCUUCCGCAAUGGACGAAAGUCUGACGGAGCAACGCCGCGUGAGUGAUGAAGGUUUUCGGAUCGUAAAGCUCUGUUGUUAGGGAAGAACAAGUACCGUUCGAAUAGGGCGGUACCUUGACGGUACCUAACCAGAAAGCCACGGCUAACUACGUGCCAGCAGCCGCGGUAAUACGUAGGUGGCAAGCGUUGUCCGGAAUUAUUGGGCGUAAAGGGCUCGCAGGCGGUUUCUUAAGUCUGAUGUGAAAGCCCCCGGCUCAACCGGGGAGGGUCAUUGGAAACUGGGGAACUUGAGUGCAGAAGAGGAGAGUGGAAUUCCACGUGUAGCGGUGAAAUGCGUAGAGAUGUGGAGGAACACCAGUGGCGAAGGCGACUCUCUGGUCUGUAACUGACGCUGAGGAGCGAAAGCGUGGGGAGCGAACAGGAUUAGAUACCCUGGUAGUCCACGCCGUAAACGAUGAGUGCUAAGUGUUAGGGGGUUUCCGCCCCUUAGUGCUGCAGCUAACGCAUU